CAAAAGCUGUCGACGACGACGACCGUCACAAUGUAUUACAAUUAUUACAUUUUCAUUGCCGAACGUGAAAUACACCAAAGACUGCGUCUACGGGUGUGAAUUUUAUUCGAUUUUCGUCCUAAAACAAUAUCGUUUGGACGCAAACACUGCAACUUUCGUCAUAUCACUUCGAUGGUCGUCAGUAUUCGGUUUGCAGUAGACGAGCCGAACGAACGAAGCGUACUUUAUCGAUGUACUUUGUUUGGCUUCCGGCCAUCUAUACAUCCAUAGCAGUCGAUAACUGUGCAUGUGCAUGUGCAUGUGCAGUUUGAAUUAAAUAUGAAUUGUCAAGUGAGUCGCGGACGUGGUACGUAGUUCCUACAUUAUAGUAUCCAGUAUCCUACUUCCUACGAAUUAGCAGUGAUGACCAGUAGGUCAGUGGUCAUGAAAUCCAACGAUUGAACAGUUCUAGACAAUAGAGGUUUAAGACAAAGCUGGGCAGGUCUAGCUGUUUCAACUUUACAAAGGUACAAUGCAUAUUGAAUUUAAGAACAUCAGA